CAGCAACUCACAAUCGCAUUCCUGCCCGUCAUUUCGAACAGCGCAGCGCUAAUUUCAGUUUGAGGUCUGCACUCUUACUACAAUGCAGAUGGUGACAGCAUCAGGCUGCACUCGGUUACCGUCCUGAAUCAUGGACCAAGGCUGCACUUUAAGGCCUACUCCUUUUUGGUGGAUCGGGUCUUGCCACCUUCCCCUUUCGUGGCUUCCUGUCGUAAUUAAAUAAAUUGUCAUAUUUUUUUCUGAUGGUGGUGCAUACCUCUUGCCACACUUGACAAAAAUAGUGUGGUGAAUCCAUGACACGGAUUACUGUGAAAUAUGCGAGAAGGUAAUUAUUGAGAAGAUUAAGCUCCGAAAAGUUUGAUGGAAAGACGAUAGAUAUACCCCGUUUAAUAUUAAGUUUCUGCUAAGGUGAAUAUGUGUCCCUUACAUUAAUUUAAAACGAAAAAAAAAAAAAAAAAAUACAGAUUACGUUUGUCCUCGUAGUUUUUACAGAAGACCCAUCGCUAUCACCAUCACUAUUUUGAUUUUUCCAAGAUGGCCGUUUUGCUUCGUGAACGUUCCGCAACUUCGGCGAUUUACGCGACUUGCGAACAGCACUGCCUAAUUGGUAAUGUGCAUCGAACAUUCCACCGGAUCUGUCCAUAGGGCGGGCUGAUAGUGUGGCAGGCGCCACUGAGCGGACGCACCGCAAAAAGGCGUCUGGCGUUUUCAGAAGCUUGUCAACUGACCUAGAUGUGAGAAUGUUUGUACAUGCAUUGCUACCAUUGCCCAGCGGGACCGGAUAUUG